AGUUGCCAAAGCCAGAAACUGGCAGUGCUCCUUAAGUCAUCCCCUUGAAUUCUUCCUCUCUCUCUCUCUCCCCAUUACCAAACAUCAGAGCACUUUUCUUCUACUUCUGAAACAUUUCUAUAGCUCAUCAACUUCUCUUGAGCUCCACCACAUCUAUCCUAGUUCAGGCCACCAUCAUUUCCCCUCAGAAUUCCUGCUGCAGUCUCCUUACUGUUCUCCCUGUCUCUACUGUGCUCCCCUUCUAAUCGUUUCUCCACACUGCAGCCCCAGUCAUCUUAUUCAAAACACUCUCUGGUUUCCUACCCUCUCUGUUUAAAAUAAUCUAAACACUCCCAUAGCACACUUGAGAA
rnacentral:lncRNA from 10 species